CAAAAUGAUAAAGGAAUGAUCAUAAAUGUUCUUCCUUGAGCUGCGUCACCCCGCAGCAGUCCGUAAUAGACUGGCCUGAGGUCUCGCUACAAACAAGCGGCGGCUGGAAGAGAGUAGGUGAGUUGCGUUUAGUCUCUUUGCUAAAGAAAUUAGGCAAAGUUAAAAAGAUGCUUGGUGGCUAGUCCUUUGGCUAGGACCCUAUAUGUACUGUUGGUGAAGUUAGGUGCUGUUCUGAGCAUUAUUUGUGGAUAUAGAGUGGCUUUUUGGUUGAGGUUUGUUGAUGGCUCCUCAGACUGCUGUGUAUUGCUAUCCUGCAGUAGUUACUUAAGUUGGUAAAACUAGAGAAGCAAGCGGUCGGCAACAUUCAUCUCUCAAGGGGUGUCUAACUCUGUGUUACUGUGUGUUUGACCCUAAAUUAAUUUUACGCUGGAAUAUCCCUUUAAGACGUGCACCACACACUGUUUGGUUAAAGCUUCUCCUUUGGGGAACUGUAAAAGUACAAUUAAAGAAAGGUCACACAUGCACACUGUGUCGAGUACAGCAAAUUUUUCAUUCAUCUAAGCAUACAAACUACAGUAUGUAGGAGAUACACACCAUUGUAUCAGUAAGUUAUUCUAGCUGGUCAGAACUGAGAUAUGACAGGGUUAAUCAAGCCAAAUGAGGGCCAUGUUGUCACUCUGUUUGUUCAUUUUGAUGAUGACUGUUUCCUGUUUUAAUUUGGUGCGUACUCUUUUCUCUUUCUUCCAGAUCCUGCUCCUCAUGUUUUCCAGCUUGAAGCUCUCCUACCCUGAUCGUGCUCACUUGUGUCUCAUUCUCCACUGAUUGUCUGAGUAUUUAAUCCCUGUGUGCUCUCCCUCAUGUUACCAGUUUGUAGUCGGUUUCCCUGUGUUGCCUCAGCCCAGCCUUUAUUUAUUUUUUCUCCUAGUGAGUGUUCUUGUGUUUGACCUCUGCCUUUAACUGCUCUUUUGGAUUUAUUAGCCCUGUGGACUGAGUACCUGUGCUCUGAUCUGGAUAUUUUAUGUAACUCUGCCUUCUUGAACUCUGCCCUGUGUGAUUGUUAUCAGAUGAGGGUGAGCAGAUCAUGCCUUACUCCUAAGGUGUUCUUCUGUCAUAGCUUCCUGGUCACUAUACAUGAUUUUACUUAUUAAACGACUACUCACCAGAUGUAUCAACAA